UUGUCUCAAAGAUUAAGCCAUGCAUGUCUCAGUACAAGCCGAAUUAAGGUGAAACCGCGAAAGGCUCAUUAAAUCAGUUAUGGUUCCUUAGAUCGUACCACACUUACUUGGAUAACUGUGGUAAUUCUAGAGCUAAUACAUGCAAACAGAGCUCCGACCGGAGACGGAAGGAGCGCUUUUAUUAGAUCAAAACCAAUCGGUGUCGGGUUCGCCCGUCAUCGUACAACCUGGUGACUCUGAAUAACUUUAAGCUGAUCGCACGGUCUCGCACCGGCGACGCAUCUUUCAAAUGUCUGCCUUAUCAACUGUCGAUGGUAGGUUCUGCGCCUACCAUGGUUGUAACGGGUAACGGGGAAUCAGGGUUCGAUUCCGGAGAGGGAGCCUGAGAAACGGCUACCACAUCCAAGGAAGGCAGCAGGCGCGCAAAUUACCCACUCCCGGCACGGGGAGGUAGUGACGAAAAAUAACGAUACGGGACUCAUCCGAGGCCCCGUAAUCGGAAUGAGUACACUCUAAACCCUUUAACGAGGAUCAAUUGGAGGGCAAGUCUGGUGCCAGCAGCCGCGGUAAUUCCAGCUCCAAUAGCGUAUAUUAAAGUUGUUGCGGUUAAAAAGCUCGUAGUCGAACUUGUGUCCCGCACCGCCGGUUCAUCGUCCGCGGUGUUAACUGGCGUGCCGCGGGACGUCCUGCCGGUGGGCUUAGCUCUUAUCGGGCGGCCCAACUCAAUCCCGCCGCGGUGCUCUUCACUGAGUGUCGAGGUGGGCCGGCACGUUUACUUUGAACAAAUUAGAGUGCUUAAAGCAGGCUAAAACUUCGCCUGAAUACUGUGUGCAUGGAAUAAUGGAAUAGGACCUCGGUUCUAUUUUGUUGGUUUUCGGAACCCCGAGGUAAUGAUUAAUAGGAACGGAUGGGGGCAUUCGUAUUGCGACGUUAGAGGUGAAAUUCUUGGACCGUCGCAAGACGAACAGAAGCGAAAGCAUUUGCCAAAAACGCUUUCAUUGAUCAAGAACGAAAGUUAGAGGUUCGAAGGCGAUCAGAUACCGCCCUAGUUCUAACCAUAAACGAUGCCAGCUAGCGAUCCGCCGACGUUCCAUUAUAUGACUCGGCGGGCAGCUUCCGGGAAACCAAAGCUUUUGGGUUCCGGGGGAAGUAUGGUUGCAAAGCUGAAACUUAAAGGAAUUGACGGAAGGGCACCACCAGGAGUGGAGCCUGCGGCUUAAUUUGACUCAACACGGGAAACCUCACCAGGCCCGGACACCGGAAGGAUUGACAGAUUGAGAGCUCUUUCUUGAUUCGGUGGGUGGUGGUGCAUGGCCGUUC
rnacentral:rRNA from 1 species